GGGGGGGUUUUGAAAGGUUUUAAAUGAGGAAGAAAAUAAUCAAAUAGGAUUUUAAAAAGAUGACUCCAGCAGCCUGGUUGGAUUGGAGAGAGGCCCAGGGCAGAGUUAACCAAUGUUAAGUGCCAUCCUGAUAGCUCUGGCCGAACAGGGAGAGAAUGAACUCAGGUGAAUGACAGGAAGGGGAGGAGGGCACAGGUAAGAAAAGCAUUUAGAAGGCAGAUUAGUAAGACAUAGAGGCCCUGUGAAUUUGUUUGAGGUGAGUCAGAGAGGUGUGGCCGAAGGAAGGGAAAAGGUAACAGAUGGAAAAUUCUAACUAAGUGGACCUCUUUAAAACAAAGCUCCUAGUGCUGGGAAUGCGGAAGUACAAGCCAGAGCCUGCACUUGCCAGAAACAUGCAUAGUCCAACGGACAACAGGAAACUAAACCAACAAUUACAGAACAGGGUUUCGGGUGCUUUACAGUGUCCAUUGUACUUUCACAACCACUGUCACACUUAGGUUCGUUCCACAGUUACUCUGUAAGUUUGCCCUGCAAGUCACUCCAUGGCAAGCACUUUCUGUCUCUAACAGCUGAGAAAAUGGACUCGGAGAAAUUAAGACACAGAACUAAGUAGAGAGGACCGGGGAGGCUCCAAGAAGAGGCAUCCCGCUCCCUCUGCAGCCGCAGAAACGCCUCCAGGACGCCUUCUCUGGCGCUGAGCCUCGAGGGUUGUUAAACUAUGACCGUUUCGCAUGGUGGGGCAACAAGCAGAAGUGUCUGAAUGUAACCUGAAGAGCUCUCUCUGGAUGGCCUGGACUACAAGUUAGCUGGAACCGGCAGAAGGAGCUGCAGCCAAGCUUAGCUUCCCACGGCACCAGUAAUUUCCUCCCUCUAGAGAGAAGAUAGAGAACGUCCUAUAGGCCCCAAGGUCUCUAUGUGCUGGGCAGCUAAUGUUCCCAGCCAAUUCCUACCUAUAGUUGGCAGCCCAAAUACAGACUUCCUGCAGCCAAGCAACCCGUGUAUUCCCCACUGGCAUGGGUACUUUCUCUUAAAUGCCCUGUGAAAAAGGAGACCCAUGGAGUGGUGGGGUCUGACCACUGGAAUGAAGGCCCAUACUGAGGGUCUACCAGUGCCCUGGCCCCGUACAUCUCUGGGAUGAUGAGACAAUCAGGAGAUGACUGGUGCUUUCUCUUCUCUUAAGGACCCUUGGUCUCUUGGGGUUUUCACUUUUCCAGUAAAGCCUAUAUUAUAACCUAAACUUUGUGACAUUGUAGAAUUUGCAUCAAAUCCAGGUGGAACUCACUUGGCAGAACAAGGAGAGUCCCAGCAGGAACCCAUCUUCACAACAGGCACCCACGAUGUUCCACAUUAACUGGGACUAUAUGCGUGUAGUUCUAGGGGGAGGCCUGAGACAAGGACCAGGCAACCUGGAGCCCGGCAGUCCCCAAAAUAGAUAUGUGAUCUAGCGAGAAGUUUUUUAGAUCCCUAUUCCACAAAUGGCUCAUCUCUGAAUUUCCAAUGAACACACAAGCUGAAACACAAAAAACAGUCAAACAAAACAAAACCCUAAGUUCCCCUCGACGCCAUGAAGCCGGUUGAGCUGCCACACAUGAUGUCAUGUGAUCUUUACUAGUGAUUUCUUGUUGAUGCCCAGGAGGGGACUGAGGACACAAUGCCUAUUGUUCACAUGUCCAGAACCUAAAGGGGAGACUUUGUUCUGGGAUCCUUUUGAUUACAACAAAAGAUGUAUAACAGACUCAAUUCUGCCAGGUGUUCUGGCAAAUGAGUAUGCAACAAACAAAAGUAAAAGGUGAGUCUUCGUUCACUGAAGGCUCUACAAAUGACACGACAAAAAGAAGGAAGGUCCCCAAAAGAUGCCAAAUUAUACACCAGCCUCUUUAAGUCUUUUCCAGUCACCACUGUGUGGUGAAUACCCAGGUCAUCAGCAAGAUGUAGUUCAUGGCCACCUUAACAAAGAGAGGACACACAGGAACUCGAGACCAGACACCUCUGCCCGACCUCUUGAAAAAUAUUUGGAGAUAACUUCUGGGGUGCCACAUAGUCAGAAGACACUAAAAGAAUAGCAAGUUCUUCAUGCUUCUGUUCCAAGAAUUCAAGCGCUAUACGAAAGCAAAGUGUUCCGAGUCCAAGGAAAAUCGGAGUCCAUUUUAUACUAUUCUCUGGAUGCUGAAGGCAUGUAGAUAGAAUGAUGCUUUGCGGAGGGGCAGGAAAAUGAAACCUAGCUUUGCUUCUUGUGCAGUACAACUCAGCAGUAGUGAGCACAAUGGAGCUGUUGUCUUCACAGCAGUCCAGGCACCACCCUACAAGUCCCGUGAGGCUAGGCUGCUAAUGGGCUGAGCUGACUGUGAUGGUGUUUUCAGGGUAUAUCAGAGGCAAUAGCCACUGCUUAGCCAAACUUGGCAAGAAGACCAUGCCCAUUGAAAACACUGAAGUCAAGGUGCUUCACUUCUCGAAAGUCACAAUGAUCCCACUAAGCAAAGAGGACGAAAUCUUUGUGUGUCGAGAUCCAGGUCUGACUGUCAAGAGCCAGGUGGGCUAUAAACGCUCCUUCUUACCCUCAAACAAAUGAACAAAGAAAAUCCCAAGUCACUAAGGUUAUCCUGAAAGUCACUUGGAAAGCACUAAAUUCUUUUGGGCAGUAAACCUGUUUCAUGAAGAUCUUACAGGGAUCAUUGCACAUGUAUGUCUGAAGGGCUUCUGAGUUGCACAUAGGAGAAUCAUAAUCCAUACUCAGCAUCAUUAUUUUUAUAAACAGCAAAGCAGUCCCUUUUGAAAUUGUUUAGGGAUCAUUAACAUUGAAAGGAUAAGAAUCUGAGACCUCAAUAUCAUGAUUACUUCUUUCUACAAAUAAUUUUUUUUUUAUGUUGGGAAUCAUAUUGCUAGUUGACAAUCAAGUAAUUACCAACACAAAGAAAGCCAGCACCCACACAACAGCAUGCAACCCGAGGGUGCCGACACAUACGUGUACUAACUCUAGCCCUGCUGAGAAGGUUCUUUUGGAACAAAGAAAAAAGGCAGGGAAAAUAGCAGCCAUAGCCACAGAAGCUGGUUAUAAUAAAUGCCGUCAAGAAAUCGUACCCAGUAUUGACAUUAAUUGUGAUUGAAGAGUUGUGCCUACAGUUUCUGUCUGCAGACUCACAGGUGUUGUCAGUGUGCUUGCUGAACCCCAAAGCCCUGUGUAAAGGCCUGAAGGUCACUGAAAAACCCAAACAUUAAUAGUUUUGUGCAGAUGGAAACAUCUGACUUCACUAUAACCUAUUUAUUCAUUGCAUAACCUCCUCCCAGCUGCCACUGUUGUGUCCAUACACAGCAUUGUGACACAGUCUUUCUUAUGAUAUAAUAUAAAUGGAACAAAGAGGGCUGCCUGCGUACACUCAAGGUUCACGGCUGUAUAGCUCCCAUCCUUUCAACAAACACCUACAGCGUCGGUACUCAGCAAUUCCGAUCUUUAUUUGGAGCACUGGAAAUAGGUCAUUUUUCCCCUUUAGGAAAAAAAACAGCACAUUUUUCCAAGAAAAGGCCACCUCCAGGUUGAAGGAGAUCAUAACAACUCCCCAAGACAAUAUGUGUGAAGACCCAAGUAAAGCAACAUACGAACAUUGGUUUUUCUGAAAAUCAUUUCUGCCAGAUGUGGCCCAAAAGACCUCUGUGAGGCCAGCAGCCCCUUCCAUGGGGCACUCACAUCCCUCUGCUUGCCAUGGCAGUGGCUCUUGAGAUGGCCUAUAGGCUUGAGUCUCCAGCUGUUAACCUCACCCCAAGUCCAGUGCCUUUACUUAAAAGAAGUAACUUUGUUCCUCUUCGUUAGCACAGCUGCUCGCAGUUAUCCUCCUCACACUCCCACAGCCACUUGCCACUAGUCAUACAUGUCUCCACCAUCAUGGUGACCCACGAUCAGCUGUGAUUCUGGGCAUCUCCCAGGCUGCCUUUGGGGCUGAUACUUGGAGGUUUCAUCCUGCCCUGGCAUGUCCCACAGAGCUGGGUGGUGGCACUGAGCAAAGGGUCAAAAGUGUCCAAGUAUUCCUUCCCACUGAAAGCUGAAGACCAGCAUGGCUGCAUGGGCCUUGCCUUUGACCUUGAAGCCAUGUGGGUCCUGGAAGCACACGCUGGCCUGCUUAAUUUCCUGCUCUAACCUGCAGCACCUGGAAAGCUCUCCCUUCCGCUCAUGCCCAGUACAUCGGGUAGGCUGGUUGUGGUAGCCAGCCUUCAAGAUGGCCCUUGAUGAUCUCCGUCCCCUGGUGUUUGUGUUCCUGCAUGACUCUCUCCCGCUUUGAAUUUGAGUUGAUCUAUGUCAGAAGUGAUGGUAUGUGACUUUCAAUGCUGGGUCAUAAAAGACAUGCAGCUUCUCCUCUACUCUCUUUCUCUCUUGGAUCAUGUGCUUUGGGGGGAAGGAAGCUGCAAUGUCAUGAGGACACUUGGGUUACCUUAUGGAGAGGCUCACCUGAGGAGGAACUGAGGCCUCCAACCAACAGCCAUGUGAGUGAAUGAACUUGGCAGCAAAUUUCCCAGCCUUCAGAUGACCACAGCCUCAGGUGACUUCUUCAGUGCAGCCUCAUGAGAGCCCCUGAGCCAGAAUCCAGCUGAGCCUCUGAAUUCCUGCUCCACAGAGACUGUAAGAUAGUGUUCACGGUUUUAAGCUACUAAGUUUUGGAGUAAUUUGUUACAUAGCAAUAAAUAACUAAUAUACCAGUCUAUAUGGACUUCAUCAGCAGGCUCCCUUGCCCACUGACUUCCAGCUAGGUUCAGCUAACAAGGGUUAUGAAAGGAUAGUGAAGGUAGAAAGCAGAGUCAGGUUGGGAAAUUUGCCUACCAGGCUUCUUCCCUAUUGAGUCGUUGAGUGUUGGCUAUAAAGUUCUCAGUUGCUAUUUUGUGGUUACCCCCAUAUAGCUACUGUGACCAGGUCCUAGUGACCACACUAUUCCCCUGCCAUUUCAGGCCCUGAUGUUACAAGCUCCAGAAUCCUGCAGUCUUUUCCUUGUAGCUUCCAUAUACCCUGCCCAUACCUUUGUAAAUUGCCCCUUUAUGAACUCUCCUCAAAUUACCCAAUUUGAGUGUACCUGUUUCCUGCUGAAACCAUGACUGAUACCAACAGUGAGAAUAAGGAAGUCUGGGAAGAAAUGACAUUUGAUCUGAGUCUUGAAGAAUGAAUGUAAUCUUGUCAAAUAAAAAAGGAAGAGCAACACAUGUUCUCGCAUCAAUAGCCACAGGCAAGUACAAUAUCUCAUUCCAAAAGCUGUAUAGCUCUGAUUGCUCAGCUCCAUGGGACACCAUUUGCACUGAAUUCUAUCUGGAUGGCUUCUAGAAUUAUGCAAUGGGGUCAUAACUGUAGGACCGGAUUUCAGUCCACAUCCAAAGAUGCAUAUGAAAUAUUAUCUUCUAAAUUUUCUACAGUUCAAUUUCUAUUUGUAUUUCAAACAACCCAUCCAGAGGUGACAGAAACUUCUUAAUCAAUUUGAGAUUUCUCCUCUCCCUCUGUCCUCUAGGAUGAAUUGGGGCAAUGAGGAGAUUAAAAAAAUUCAGUUAAUAUUUCAAAAACACCCAGUUACAUUCAAUAACAUUUUAUUUCUUUGGAGUACACUAAUUCAGUCUUUGUUAUAUUUCAGUGUAGGUUAGACCGGAGUUCAGAGUGGCCGAUGAAAAGAGGUUCUGCCAAGCAGCUGAUUAGGCUGAAUGUGAUUGCAGGAGCACAUUUAAACUCUAUGUUGAACCAUCCUUGUAUCCCUGGAAUAAAUCCCGCUUG